AUGGUAUAUCCUGGUAGUAGUACUAGUAGAAUUGAGAUUGAAUGCACUUUCUUCCCCGUAUUCCACUCUUCUUCCUCCUCUCUUCUUCCUCCUCUCUUCCCCAUCGCCGGCCGCACACCAUUUACCCCCACUCACUGCUCGCCCGCUCGCGCCAUCUUCCUUGGUAGCUCGCGUUCAAAGAAGGAUUGGCUGGAGCUGCCGGCUCGCGUCAAGUUCGAUCCCACGGAUCAGGAGCUGAUCGAGCACCUUGAGGCCAAAGUGAGUGCUGACAGCGCGAGAUUUCAGUCUCACAUUGAUUUGUUCAUACCAACCAUCGACAGCGAGCACGGCAUAUGCUACACCCAACCUGAGAAACUUCCAGAUGUUAUGAAAAUGCCAACUAGGUACACUAAGACCUGUAUUCCACAAUACUGCAGGUAUCACACUGAGUGGCCUAAGGAAGCAUUUCUUCCAGCGCAAUUCCAGGGCGUUCAAAAGGGGCACGUGGACGCGUCGCAAGAUACAGUCGGAGUGCGGCAUGCACGCGAUGUGGCACAAGACCGGCAAUACCUUGCCGGUGGUGGUCAACGGCCGGCAAGAUGGGCAGCAAAAAAGGUUCUGGUGCUGCACACCAACAAGAACUUCGACCAGCAGAGGACCAACUGGGUGAUGCACCAGUACCACCUCGGGGACCUGGAGCAAGAGAAGGAGCGGGAGCUGGUCCUCUGCAAGAUUUUCUACCAGACGAACACUAGGGCCAGGAGUAAAAAGAUUAUAAGUCAAGCAAGUUUCAACUGGGCUGUAGACUGCCGAGGGUUGGCUUUGUUUUUAACAGGCCCAGCCCAUGACGACAACGGGGCACAAAGAUCCAGCAGCGCUCGCUCUCUCCCCCGAAGCGCUCGCUCUCUCACCCGCAGCCGCGCGCUGCGCCGGCAACCAGUCCGGCCCCGGCGGCCACCCCCUCCCCCCGCGCCGCUCUCAACUCCGGAGACGGCGGCCACCGCUCCCCUCCCCCGCUCCAUGGCCUCUAGGGUCUCGCUGUCGGGGUCGUCCUCUUCCAAGUCCCCCUCUUGGGCUCCUCGGUAG
rnacentral:rRNA from 1 species